AUCAACAUAGAUUUAGAUUUUGAAAAUAAUUUGCACAUAUAAAUUAUAAAAUUUUUUAGAUCAAAUCUAAACUUUUUAUGAUUUUAAAUCAAAAUAAUUUUGAUUAAAUAAGAUUAGAUAUAACUAACUUUUUUACUUGCAUCAUAUACAACAACACCUAAGAUUUCAAGAUCUAAAAUUUUGCAAGAAAGUAAGUUUUUUCUUUUCGCUUUCUUCUUCAUGGGAUCUAAUCACAUGGCAUCCCUACACACCAUAAGAGCACCCCAUCGAAUAGAAAGAGAGGACCUUUAAAUCUUUCUUGCUCCUAUG
rnacentral:lncRNA from 1 species